UUUGGAGUAACUUGGGAAUCUUGUUAAAAUGCGGAUUCUGGCAAAGUCAGUGUAGAAUGGGAAUGAGAGUCUACAUUUCUAAAAAGCUCACAGGCAAUAUGAGG
rnacentral:miRNA from 1 species